CAGUCGCCGCGAGAAUACGGAGGGUGCAAGCGUUAAUCGGAAUUACUGGGCGUAAAGCGCACGCAGGCGGUUUGUUAAGUCAGAUGUGAAAUCCCCGAGCUUAACUUGGGAACUGCAUUUGAAACUGGCAAGCUAGAGUCUUGUAGAGGGGGGUAGAAUUCCAGGUGUAGCGGUGAAAUGCGUAGAGAUCUGGAGGAAUACCGGUGGCGAAGGCGGCCCCCUGGACAAAGACUGACGCUCAGGUGCGAAAGCGUGGGGAGCAAACAGGAUUAGAGACCCGUGUAGUCCCUGUCUCUUAUAC
rnacentral:rRNA from 1 species